UUCGGGGGUGAGUAAAGCGGCGGACGGGUGAGUAACACGUGAGCGAUUUCCCCGGAGAAGGGGGACAACCCAGGGAAACCUGGGCUAAUACCGCAUACAGCGAUGGGAGUAAGCGCCCAUCGUCAAAGUUGGCCUCUCUUCGAAGCUAACAUCUCCGGAUGAGCUCGCGGCCUAUCAGCUAGUUGGUGAGGGUAACGGCCCACCAAGGCGAUGACGGGUAGCUGGCGUGAGAGCGCGACCAGCCACACUGGGACUGAGACACGGCCCAGACUCCUACGGGAGGCAGCAGUGGGGAAUCUUGCGCAAUGGGCGAAAGCCUGACGCAGCGACGCCGCGUGGGGGAGGAAGGCCUCAGGGUUGUAAACCCCUGUCAGGAGGGACGAAACGUGGAUCGGCAAACAGCCGGUUCGCUUGACGGUACCUUCAGAGGAAGCUCCGGCUAACUCCGUGCCAGCAGCCGCGGUAAUACGGAGGGAGCAAGCGUUGUUCGGAAUUACUGGGCGUAAAGCGCAGGUAGGCGGUCUGCUAAGUCUCCUGUGAAACUCCGGAGCUCAACUCCGGACAUGCAGAAGAUACUGGCAGUCUAGAGACCGGUAGAGGCAAGCGGAAUUCCUGGUGUAGCGGUGGAAUGCGUAGAUAUCAGGAAGAACACCUGUGGCGAAGGCGGCUUGCUGGGUCGGUUCUGACGCUGAUCUGCGAAAGCGUGGGGAGCAAACA
rnacentral:rRNA from 1 species